UUAAACCUUAAAAUAAUUGAAAACCACUACAGGGUUUUAAGAAGGAGGAUGGCAUAAUCCAGUUUGCACUUCAGAAAGAUAGCUCUGCUGGAGUAUACACAAGGAAUUGGAGAGGGUCCAAAGAUGAAGCCAUCAAUCAGGAAGAAGGCCCUGUUUUUUAGUGCUCUCUCCUAGGCAAUAGGUCAUGGCAGCUGGUACUAAGAUGGUGGUGGUAGUAGAAGGAGGAAAUAUUUAAGACAUGUUUAGUAGGUAUUUAGGAGGUUCUGGAUUAGAUGUGGAGAGCAGUCUGUCAGCAGUGUGGAAGAUGACUGGAGCAGAGAAAGACUUAAGGAAGCACUGCCUGGAGAAAAAAUAACCCCAUGAAAUCACAACUAGCACGAUGAGAAAGGAAAAACUAAUUUUAGCUGGAAACAUCUUAAGAGAAUAGGCUGUUUAAUAUGUUAAUCUAGUCAACUGAAGAAGCAGGAUCUGUAUCUUAAUAUCUUGGCAGAUGCUGGCAUUCAUCUUUCUUAUCAAGGCUCAUGGCAGAGAGCAUAGAAGGAAAACAAGUAAACUCAAGCGACAAGGCAGUGUGCCUCACCUCUUUUCAGCUGCAGGGCCAUCUCCUGGAUGAAUGAGCCUACUCAGCCUGGCCAGCGCUCACCCAGGCAGGCAGCGCAUGCGGAGAGCUCAUCAGACCCACACUUGGAAGCGGCCAUCAAAAUCUAAAACACCUGUGGCAUCGCAACAAAGCUGAAUCCCAAAUCAGUCCAUGGUAAAGGAGGAAGUAGCUGUUUAGGAUAAAUACCUUUAUGUGGAUUCACAUACUGAAGAAAAUAAGCUUUUUUUGCUAGUUCAAGAAAUACUGCCAUAUCCAGAGAGCUGUGGGCCACAAUAGCGAAACUUUAAGGCUUUCAAAGUAGCAAAUCUCUACAUUCAUAUCAAGUAACAAUCCCAUAAUGGCUGCCGAAUAGGGCAGAAUAAUCUAUAAAGUUUUCACAUGCGUAUUUCAUUUCUCUUCCUUUGUUUUUAUCUCCAAAUAUGCUGAGCUAUUUGGUGGUGGUGGUGAGAGCGGUCUGUGUGGGGAGGUGUCCCACUGUUUGUUGUAAUAGGAGAAUCACUUAGGUAUUUCAGAGAGACCGCAUGGUGUGAUGGAAAGAAUACCAUCUGGGGAGUUGGAUGAACCUGGAUUGAAUCCUGCUGCUGGGCUUCAUCUUUCUAGGGUAAUUUCUGUAGCUUGCAUUUCCUCACAUGUAAAUUGAGAGUAAUCAGCCUCUUAAAGAGCUGAUCUAAGGGUUAAAUGCAACAAUAGAUAUAAAGUCAUAUAGCAGGAGCUCAAUAAAUGCUGCUUUUCUUCCUGCCACACAUUUUAAAUGACAGAAACGAUCUACCUUUACUUUAGGAAUUGCGAUUUUCAGAUUUCAAGUCAUUUUUUAGCCUCUUACAUUUUGUAACUUGCAGAGCUAAAAGUUUGCACUGACUUAGCUCCUUCCACACCCCCUCAUAUGGACCCCAUGACACAAACCUACCCACACACACACAUACUCACACAUCUGAGUAACUAGUGUUCCCAUGACACAUCUCACACUUCGCCUGUUGUUUCGCUGUCGCUAUUCUGUCUGCAAAGCCAUUUCACCAAUCUUCACCUAGCAAAUCUUACUCAUUCUUUAAGGAGCAACUCAAAUUUCAUCUCCUCAGUGACACCUCCCACAUCAGUGUGAAUUCCUCACUGUCAGCUGUCUGUAUGGUGAGGACUAAAUAAAUGAGAGUAAAACUGCUUUAAA
rnacentral:lncRNA from 1 species